GACGAACGCUGGCGGCGUGCUUAACACAUGCAAGUCGAACGGAAAGGCCCUGCUUUUGUGGGGUGCUCGAGUGGCGAACGGGUGAGUAACACGUGAGUAACCUGCCCUUGACUUUGGGAUAACUUCAGGAAACUGGGGCUAAUACCGGAUAGGAGCUCCUGCUGCAUGGUGGGGGUUGGAAAGUUUCGGCGGUUGGGGAUGGACUCGCGGCUUAUCAGCUUGUUGGUGGGGUAGUGGCUUACCAAGGCUUUGACGGGUAGCCGGCCUGAGAGGGUGACCGGCCACAUUGGGACUGAGAUACAGCCCAGACUCCUACGGGAGGCAGCAGUGGGGAAUAUUGCACAAUGGGCGGAAGCCUGAUGCAGCAACGCCGCGUGCGGGAUGACGGCCUUCGGGUUGUAAACCGCUUUCGCCUGUGACGAAGCGUGAGUGACGGUAAUGGGUAAAAAAGCACCGGCUAACUACGUG
rnacentral:rRNA from 1 species